CUGUCCGGCCUGCAUGGUCUGUACUAACAGGAGCCUGCCAUCCCCAUUCCUUCGCAGCUCCUGCUGCCUGGGCACAAAUGCCCUGGAGAGUGAGUGACUGUCAGACCAGCCGGAGGGGAGCAAUGGGAAGAGCCGCUUGCUGAGAAGAGGUGGGCUUGGCAGGACUGCAGAUGGAGUACUCUCCCCAACCCCCUGCAGGUGCUUGUCUAAGCCAAGCUGGGAGGAUGGAGGCCGGCCCUGGCCCAGCCCCAGGCAAGGGAGGAGCCUCAGCCCAGAUGGGGCAGGUGGGGAGUCUGGGCUCAGGUGUGUCCUGUGGGAAGUGAUUGCUCCCUGGCUAGCAGAGACAGAGGAAAGCGGAUUGUUGGCCCCAGGACCCAGCUCUGAGAGGCUGGGCUUGUUUCCCCGACUCUGCCUUGGAGGAAAGCAAUGGAAGGGGAAGGGGUAAGAAACUUCAAGGAACUUCGAGCCAAAUUUCAAAAUCUUGAUGCUCCACCUCUUCCAGGACCUAUUAAAUUCCCAGCAGGUGUUUCUCCAAAGGGUGACAUUGGAGGCACACAGUCAACUCAAAUUUUGGCCAAUGAGAAACCCCUCCCAUCCAACCACAAGCAGCGCACACCAUACUGUUCCAGUAGUGAGUCCCAGCCUCUUCAACCUCAGAAAAUAAAGUUGGCUCAGAAGAGUGAAAUUCCAAAAUGUUCUAAUGCCCCAGGGCCUCUGGGAAAGUCUACUGUAUGUUCUGCAGCAAGUUCACAGAAGGCUUCUCUGCUGUUAGAGGUGACUCAAUCAAAUGUUGAGAUAAUCACUAAGGAAAAAGUAAUGGUGGCCAAUAGCUUCAGAAACAAACUCUGGAACUGGGAGAAGGUUUCAUCUCAGAAAAGUGAAAUGUCAUCAGCCCUUCUCCUUGCCAACUGUGGAAGUAAGGCUAUCCAUCUGGAAGGGCAAAAAGGCAUGGGGCUUACUCCAGAGGAACCCAGGAAAAAGCUGGAAACAAAAGGAGCCCAGACUCUUCCUUCCCAGAAGCACGUGGUGGCCCCCAAAAUAUUACGUAACGUCUCUGAAGAUCCCUCUUUUGUAAUUUCUCAACAUAUCAGAAAGAGCUGGGAAAACCUACCUCCUGAGAGGAGCCCGGCAAGCAGCCCCUGCCAGCCCAUCUAUGAGUGUGAGCUUGCCAGUCAGGCCCCAGAAAAACAGCCAGAUGUCAGGCAUCACCACCUUCCCAAAACAAAGCCAUUGCCCUCCAUCGACUCCCUGGGUCCUCCUCCCCCAAAGCCUUCAAGACCUCCCGUCAUGAACCUCCAGGCCUUUCAGAGGCAGCCAGCUGCUGUUCCCAAGACUCAAGGGGAAGUGACUGUGGAAGAGGGCUCCCUGUCUCCAGAGAGGCUUUUCAAUGCAGAAUUUGAAGAACCACAUAAUUACGAGGCAACAAUUUCAUAUCUGAGACACUCUGGCAACUCCAUUAACCUGUGCACUGCAAAAGAAAUUGCUGAUCCAACUUAUGAAGUUGGAAUUGAAGAACUCCAAAAGCCUGGGAAGAAUUUUCCCUAUCCAGAACCUAGUGCUAAACAUGAAGAUAAAAAAAUGAAGGAAAAACAACCAUGUGAAUUGGAACCUAAAAACACAGAAAAGGAACCAUAUUCAAACCAUGUUUUCAAGGUAGAUGCCUGUGAAGGGACACCUGAAAAAAUUCAGAUGACCAACACCCACACAGGUAGAAGGAACAUGUUGGCUGGAAAGCAAGAGGCCAUGAUUGACAUCAUCCAGACAAAUCCCUGCCCUGAGGGCCCAAAGCUGGCCAGGCACUCCCAAGGCCACUGUGGGUAUCUGGAGGUUUUGGAGUCAACUAAAGAAACUCCAGACCUAGGGGUCUCUAAGACAAGUUCCAUCUCGGAGGAGAUAUAUGAUGAUGUCGAGUACUCCAGGAAAGAGGUACCGAAGCUGAACUACUCUAGCUCAUUUGCCUCAAAUAGUGAAGAAAAUAGAGAACUGUAUGAAGAUGUCUACAAAACAAAGAACAACUACCCAAAGAUAGAUUUAGAUGGAAAAGAAGCACUCAAAAGACUGCAGCAAUUCUUCAAGAAAGAAAAGGAUAGAUUUAAAAUAAAGAAAACCAAGUCAAAAGAAAACUUAAGUGCAUUUUCCAUUUUGCUGCCUGAUUUAGAACGUAAGUCUCAGGAAGUUAUUAUCUAUGAUGAUGUAGACCUGAGUGAAAAAGAGUCAAAAGAUGAAGAUAAACUGAAAAUGUGGAAGCCCAAGUUUCUGACACCAAAGGAAAAAAAAGAGAAAAAUGGUGCUGAAGAAUCAGAAAGUUUCUCUCCUAGAAAUUUCUUCAAAACCAAGAAGCAAAACUUAGAAAAGAACAGAAUGAAAAGAGAAGAAAAACUAUUUAGAGAAAGGUUUAAGUACGACAAAGAGAUUAUUGUCAUCAACACAGCAGUGGCCUGUUCCAAUAAUUCAAGAAAUGGAAUAUUUGAUUUGCCAAUAAGUCCUGGAGAAGAAUUGGAAGUCAUUGAUACCGCCGAACAAAAUCUAGUGAUAUGUCGUAAUUCUAAAGGCAAAUGCAUCAAAGUUGGUCACCUUAGAAAGAUCAAGAUCAAAUGCUAUGGACUGCACAAGGGAGAACUAGUCCUAAGAUCCUAGUCCUGCGUUACAUCAGUUUCAGUUUACAUGUCAAAAUUUUGAGAUGGUGGAAUCUGUGGAAACUUUCGUUCUGAACUUAAAAGAGAAAAAUAAAAACAAAUCCUCAACAUUUAGAUGUUGGUUCUACUCCUAAAAGACAAGGCACAGAGAUGGAAGAGCCAUGCUCUGUCUGGUGAUUGAUUGAUUAUGAAGAAAUUCAAAGUAAAUGGAGUGUAGAAUGUCUGGUGGGGAAUGGCAAGAGCUGUUUGUUUGGAAUGCGGUAAGGUGGGGCUAGAAUGUGACAGACUUCACUUGUACCUUUUCCUUUAGAGAGUAAGGAGUCAUUUAAGGGUUAAGCAGGAAGAAAAUGCCAGUUAUUUGGGGGACAGGAAGAAAAUGCCAACUAUUUGGGGGAUGGGAAGCAAUCACCAAUAUGGAUAAUAGAGGAGAGAUUAAUCGUUUUUGCAAUAUUCUAGGCAAAAGGGCAUUACAGCUUAAGACAGCAGCAACAGAAAUAUAUGGUAUAGGAGCCCCAUUAGAGAUAUUACAGAGGUAAAACAGAAUGUCUUGGUGACUAAUUAGAUGUAGCGAUGACAGAGAAGGAGAAUUAGGGAAUGGCUUUGAGACUUCUUUUCUGGGAGAUGAAAUUAAGGCUGGUACCAAAGAUUGGAAAUUUAUUUCUGCUUAGACUAGAGACCAAACUCUGUUUGGACCCCCUGAACUAAAUCUACUACCCAGUGAGAGGCAAUUGCAGCCCUCUCCUGCUCUCCAGGACAAUAAUUGUUAGAGUAGGCAUUGUAGAACACAAGGCUAAGUAUGGUCUGUGGGCAAGAAGAGUAUAUGACUACGUUGAGCAGAAAUCUUUCAUGCAGUAAUCCUGUCCAACAGAGAAUCAUAUACCAUACAUCACUCUUGCCACUUCACCAAGCCAUUAAGCCUUUUAAAUCUUGGAGUGACAGUGGGACUAAAUUUGAAUUCAGAUAAGUUUGUCCCCUGCACUUUCCGCCUCAUUGUUCUAAUUUUCCGCCUCAUUGUUCCGCCCCUUGUUCUAAUUUGACUCACUCAGCUCUUUGCAUCUCAAUUUCCUCAUUAUUAAAACAGGGCUAGGCCGGGCGCAGUGGCUCACGCCUGUAAUCCCAGUACUUUGGGAGGCUGAGGUGGGCGGAUCACUUGAGGUCAGGAGUUCUAUACCACCCUGGCCGAUAUGAUGAAACUGUCUCCACUAAAAAUACAAAAAUUAGCUGGGUGUGCUGGUGCACGCCUGUAAUUCCAGCUACUCAGAAGGCUGAGACAGGAGAAUCACUUGAACCUGGGAGGCGGAGGUUGCAGUGAGCUGAAAUCACGCCACUGCACUCCAGACUGGGUGACAGAGCAAGACUCCGUCUAAAAAAAAGAUAAAUAAUAAUUAAAAAAAAACAGAGCUAAUAACUCUCAUCUCGUCUACUUCAAAGGGUAGUUGUUAUGCUAUAAUGUAAUAAUAUAAAAGUAGUCUAAAAUCCUGAAUACACACUACUGUAUAAGUGGUGUCAUUUUUGUACCUGGCUUUUUCUGAAGUUGGAGAUGCUGAAAACAAAAAUACAUUUUUAAAAUUCAAAUUGUAAGACUUGAAAGAAUGGCUGUUAAGUAAUUUUUUUGCAUAGACAGAAAAAUGUUCAGGGUUAAAAGCCUAUUAAAUAUGGUAUACUAAAGUAUAAACUAUUUUGUCUAAUAUAAACUAGUACCUAACUAUUAUUUAUUGAUAUGGUAUAGGUUUUUAGAAAAAAUGAUUGUUUUUCUAUCCUUUCUAUCCAUACUUAAUGCAGUUAUGUUUCUAUUUCACUAAUAUCAGCCACAUUUCCUCCAUUCUUGGAUUCAAAGCAUCAAAACUAUAUUUUUCACAUUAUUAAUCUGCAAGGUUUCAAAAUGUAAACACCGUAACUAAGACUUCAGUAAUAUUCUAAGCAGAUGUCAUCUGUCUCCUAGAAACCCUAAUUGAGCAUAAAGCUUCAAUGGAAAGACUAAGUUUACCUUUUAUUUUCAAUUUUGUAUAAAAAUAUAGUAAAGAUAAUGGCAUCAUCAGAUAAAAGGCAGCAUACUAAAGCACUUUACUGUAACAGAGGCUUAACACUGGCCUACUCAUAAACUCACUGACAUAUAGGCCAGGCCCUCCAGCAACCUUAAGAUGUCCCAAGACCUCCCUUCCCGCUUCUGAGUUUCUCUGUGAUAUACUCACUCUUCUAAGAUGUCAUAGCAACCUUCUUGACCAGGCCCUCUCCUGCAAAUCUUCAAAACUUUUAAAAGGUAUAUUCUAGGGGGAAGAAAUGGAAGAGGAAAAAUAUGAACAUACAAUAACAAAACUAAGAAGUGGCUGCCUCUUAUUAUGGGUGAGAUUUUUCUGAUUCUUUAAAUUUCCUUCACUUUUCAAAUUUCCUAUAGGAAGCAUCUAUUAUCUAUGCAAUUUAGGAAAUAAAAAAUAUUUUCACUAAUAAAAACAAAUCCAUUCUUUUCCUUCAAGUUUAGAAAAAGCAAAUUGAAAUCUUUACCUGUAUAUCCUGAUUUUAAUAUGCUUGCAUUUUUCUUUUUCAUGAGGGCUAAAGUAUGCUUUUCAAAAAGCACAUAGUCCAGGUGGGCCCAACUUAAUCACAUAAGCCCUUAAAAUUUGAAAAGGAAGGCAGUAAAGUCAGUCUCAGCAAGUCAGAAACAUGUAGUUGAAGAGAAGGAAGAAGAGAUCCAACCCAUAAGCCACUUGUUGCUGGUUUUGAAGAUGAAGGGAGCCAUGGGCCAAGGGAUGAUGGCCUCUAGAAGCUUUAAAUGAUUCCUAGCCAACAGCCAAAAAGGCAACAGGGACCUCAAUCCUACAGCACCAUGGAACGAAAUUCUGCCAACAACUCAAUGCAACUGGAAACAGAUUCUCCUCCACAGCCCAGCCCUAUCAAUGCUUUGGUUUUCAGCUUGUGUGACUUGAGGCAGAAAAACCAGCUAAGCCUGCUGGAUUUCUGACAUAUAGAACAAUAAGAUAAUUUGUAUUUUAAGUCGUUAAGUUUGUAGUAAUUUGUUACAGCAACAGUAGAAAACCAAUGCAAUAACUCAAGUUAAAAACUAUAAUGUACAACUAAGAUGACAAAAAUGAAAAAAGAUGGUGUGAAAUCACCAAUGAGUAUAGGCAAUCUUUUCCACUAACAACUUUCCUGUAACUAUUAGUUGGUGUGC